AUUGAACGCUGGCGGCAGGCCUAACACAUGCAAGUCGAACGAGUGGCGGACGGGUGAGUAAUGUCUGGGAAACUGCCUGAUGGAGGGGGAUAACUACUGGAAACGGUAGCUAAUACCGCAUACCAUCAGAUGUGCCCAGAUGGGAUUAGCUAGGUGGUUGGGUAACGGCUCACCAAGGCGACGAUCCCUAGCUGGUCGGAGAGGAUGACCUGCCACGCUGGAACGGAGACACGGUCAAGACUCCUAUGGUAGGCAGCAGUAGGGAUUAUUGCACAAUGGGCUCAAGCGUGAUGCAGCCAUGCCGCGUGUAUGAAGAAGGCCUUCGGGUUGUAAAGUACUUUCAGCGGGGAGGCGUGAGCCGCAGAAGGAGCACCGGCUAACUCCGUGACAGCAGCCGCGGUAAUAC
rnacentral:rRNA from 1 species